UACGUAGGGCGCAAGCGUUGUCCGGAAUUAUUGGGCGUAAAGAGCUCGUAGGCGGUUUGUCGCGUCUGCUGUGAAAACCUGAGGCUCAACCUCGGGCUUGCAGUGGGUACGGGCAGACUAGAGUGCGGUAGGGGUGACUGGAAUUCCUGGUGUAGCGGUGGAAUGCGCAGAUAUCAGGAGGAACACCAGUGGCGAAGGCGACUAUCUGGGGUGCAACUGACGCUGAGGCGCGAAGGCUAGGGUAGCAAACAGG
rnacentral:rRNA from 1 species